rnacentral:rRNA from 1 species
GACAGAGGGUGCAAACGUUGCUCGGAAUUACUGGGCGUAAAGCGCGUGUAGGUGGAUUGGUGUGUCAGAUGUGAAAGCCCUGGGCUCAACCCAGGAACUGCACCUGAAACUACCAGUCUUGAGUGGUGGAGAGGGAAGUGGAAUUCCUGGUGUAGAGGUGAAAUUCGUAGAUAUCAGGAGGAAUACCGGUGGCGAAGGCGGCAUCCUGGACCGGCAUUGACGCUGAGGAGCGAAAGCCAGGGGAGCAAACGGG